rnacentral:tmRNA from 1 species
GGGGGUGACUUGGCUUCGACGGGGUGAGCGUAGUCACAGGUUGCAUGCCGAGUUUCCAUCACGGAUCUCUCGUAAAAAAAUCGGUGGUACUAUAAAUGUAAAUGCUGACAACUAUCAGUAUCGGAUGGCCGCCUAACAGCGCUGUCCCGUCCUCUUGAUCGUCCGCUUGCCGACGGUCUCUGAGGGCGCCAUAUAAUGGUGAGCUAGUGUAUCGUCUCGGUCGGUGGCGAUAUGCGAAACCUUAUCCGGCCUGGCCUGAAGACUGCCUCGCUGUCCGGCGACCCUUCAGGUAAGAUCAUAUAGGAUAACUAAGCAUGUAGAAGCUUGCUGGUUCGUCACUUCGGACCCGGGUUCAACUCCCGGCACCUCCACAA